UCCCUGGAGGACUAGUGGUUAGGUCAUGGCACUUUCACUGCCAUGGCCCAGAUUCAAUUCCUGGCCAGGGAA